rnacentral:rRNA from 1 species
UACGUAGGGUGCAAGCGUUAAUCGGAAUUACUGGGCGUAAAGCGUGCGCAGGCGGUUUUGUAAGUCAGAUGUGAAAUCCCCGGGCUUAACCUGGGAACUGCGUUUGAAACUACAAGGCUAGAGUGUGACAGAGGGGGGUGGAAUUCCACGUGUAGCAGUGAAAUGCGUAGAGAUGUGGAGGAACACCGAUGGCGAAGGCAGCCCCCUGGGAUAACACUGACGCUCAUGCACGAAAGCGUGGGGAGCAAACAGG